GGGCGAGUGGUGAAAUUGGUAUACACGCUAGACUCAAAAUCUUGUGAGCUUUACGCUCGUGGGGGUUCAAGUCCCCCCUCGCCCACCA
rnacentral:tRNA from 1 species